rnacentral:tRNA from 1 species
UGCGAAAGGGUGUGAGAAGCACAAGGAUUUUUGGAUUCCUAGGUAGUGGUUUAAGUCCACUUUUUGUAA